AUGUGUUGAAACUGUGUAUCAAU
rnacentral:piRNA from 1 species